rnacentral:lncRNA from 1 species
AUUAAAUCAAGUAAAUUCCAAAUAAUUAAGUAAAUACAAAAUAAGUGGGAAGGUAUCUAAUAGACAAAAGUAAAGUAAAUCCAGAUCUGGAAAGUUCUAUCCAGGUUGUCACUUUGGUUCUCUCUUUGAAUUUGAUCGGUCCUUGUCGGUUGUUCUAUGGAAGGUGAUUCUCCUAUCUAAUGUCAAUUCUCUAUUUUUUUUUCCCCAGUUUUGUGGUCGUUGUGAUGUCUGGAAAGAUUUUCUCCUCUUUUUUUUAGUCAAUUUGAACAUGUCUAAGAACUGAGCCUCAUGCAUCAAAGUGUGAAGAUAAAAGCUUGAAGUACCAAAGAUAUCUUUUCAAUUAAGACCCUUGCAAAAGAUAUCCUUUCCACCUUCGUUGUGCAUUUAUCCACAUAUAUUGAUAUCCCUAUACAAAUCGUAAUCCUACUAAGGGAAUCCACGCCCCAAAAAUUCAAUGGUAGAUUAGGGAAACACCCCAAAAUUGGUAUAGUGUUUAGGGUCUCAUUGUUAAAACUAAAAAUCUUCCUCUCAUGCUUUAGUGAUUACAUGCUUAUUAUUUAUCAUAUAAGGCCAUGAGUGGAAAACCUCAUUCCUAAUGACCACCCCAACAUCGUGAAUAAUAGUGUAAGGUUUGGCCAGAUCUGCAGACCUUUCUUUCGAAUAUGGUAAGAUAGCAAUUCCAUUCUGUAGCGUGUCAUUAUUUUCAAUGUUAUUUUUCUUCACUGAGCUCCCUAGAUGAUUUUUUGCUUUUUCCUUCCCUUUAAUCAUUCUAAUCACCUCCAAAUUAGUGAUAACUCAUAUUUCCUUAUGAUUCUAAACUUUCUUUAGUCGCCCCUAUCCCAUUUCGGUGGAGGUGUAUAGUAACACCUCACAUAUGUCGAAUUCAAUGGAACGGUUGUUUAGAG